GAUGAACGCUAGCUACAGGCUUAACACAUGCAAGUCGAGGGGCAGCAUGGACAUAGCUUGCUAUGUUUGAUGGCGACCGGCGCACGGGUGCGUAACACGUAUCCAAUCUGCCCGUUACUCGGGGAUAGCCUUCUGAAAGGAAGAUUAAUACCCGAUGGCAUGUAUUUCCGGCAUCGGAGAUACAUUAAAGGAUUUAUCGGUAACGGAUGAGGAUGCGUACGAUUAGCUAGUUGGCGGGGUAACGGCCCACCAAGGCGACGAUCGUUAGGGGUUCUGAGAGGAAGGUCCCCCACACUGGAACUGAGACACGGUCCAGACUCCUACGGGAGGCAGCAGUGAGGAAUAUUGGGUCAAUGGUCGGAAGACUGAACCAGCCAAGUAGCGUGAAGGAUGACUGCCCUACGGGUUGUAAACUUCUUUUGUUUGGGAAUAAAGACGCUACGUGUAGCGUUCUGCAUGUACCUUACGAAUAAGCAUCGGCUAAUUCCGUGCCAGCAGCCG
rnacentral:rRNA from 1 species